rfam:Paenibacillus ferrarius strain CY1 CY1_scaffold1, whole genome shotgun sequence.
UUAAAUAAACCCUUAUACAAUAAGGGUUUUAGGUAUCAGUACCAUUAAAUUAUUACGACGGCCCUUUUACAGGCCGUCUCAUGGGAGAGGAGAAACCGGACGAAGAGCUUAUGGGGAAACGUAAGCCUUCUCCGCGG